rnacentral:rRNA from 1 species
UACGGAGGGGGCUAGCGUUGUUCGGAAUUACUGGGCGUAAAGCGCGCGUAGGCGGACCUGCAAGUCGGGGGUGAAAGCCCGAGGCUCAACCUCGGAACUGCCUUCGAUACUGCGGGUCUCGAGUCCGGGAGAGGUGAGUGGAAUUCCUAGUGUAGAGGUGAAAUUCGUAGAUAUUAGGAAGAACACCAGUGGCGAAGGCGGCUAC